rnacentral:rRNA from 1 species
CGACGUAGGUAACCUGCCUGGUAGCGGGGGAUAACUAUUGGAAACGAUAGCUAAUACCGCAUAAGGGUAGAUGUUGCAUGACAUUUGCUUAAAAGGUGCAAUUGCAUCACUACCAGAUGGACCUGCGUUGUAUUAGCCAGUUGGUGGGGUAACGGCUCACCAAGGCGACGAUACAUAGCCGACCUGAGAGGGUGAUCGGCCACACUGGGACUGAGACACGGCCCAG